rnacentral:rRNA from 1 species
AAUCAACGCUGGCGGCGUGCCUCAGACAUGCAAGUCGAACGAUUAACGCUCUCUUCGGAGAGUGCAUAGAGUGGCGCACGGGUGAGUAACACGUAAGAAAUCUACCCUCGAGUGGGGAAUAACGUCCGGAAACGGGCGCUAAUACCGCAUAAUGCAGCGGCAUCACAAGAUGACAGUUGCUAAAGAUUUAUCGCUUGAGGAGGGGCUUGAGGCAGAUUAGCUUGUUGGUAAGGUAACGGCUUACCAAGGCUACGAUCUGUAACCGGUUUUAGAGGACGGACGGUCACACUGACACUGAAUACCGGGUCAGACUCCUACGGGAGGCAGCAGUCGGGAAUUUUGGGCAAUGGGCGAAAGCCUGAACCAGCAACGCCGCGUGAAGGAUGAAGUAUUUCGGUAUGUAAACUUCGAAAGAAUAGGAAGAAUUAAUGACGGUACUAUUUAUAAGGUCCGGCUAACUACGUGCCAGCAGCCGCAGUAA